GAUGAACGCUGGCGGCGUGCCUAAUACAUGCAAGUCGAGCGAACGGACGAGAAGCUUGCUUCUCUGAUGUUAGCGGCGGACGGGUGAGUAACACGUGGAUAACCUACCUAUAAGACUGGGAUAACUUCGGGAAACCGGAGCUAAUACCGGAUAAUAUUUUGAACCGCAUGGUUCAAAAGUGAAAGACGGUCUAGCUGUCACUUAUAGAUGGAUCCGCGCUGCAUUAGCUAGUUGGUAAGGUAACGGCUUACCAAGGCAACGAUGCAUAGCCGACCUGAGAGGGUGAUCGGCCACACUGGAACUGAGACACGGUCCAGACUCCUACGGGAGGCAGCAGUAGGGAAUCUUCCGCAAUGGGCGAAAGCCUGACGGAGCAACGCCGUGUGAGUGAUGAAGGUCUUCGGAUCGUAAAACUCUGUUAUUAGGGAAGAACAUAUGUGUAAGUAACUGUGCACAUCUUGACGGUACCUAAUCAGAAAGCCACGGCUAACUACGUG
rnacentral:rRNA from 1 species